AUUUGUCGUGGCAUCUGCUGGUGGGGCAGCUCUGUCGAUGGCGUGUCAGUGGCUGCCUCAGGACCGACUUUUGGGCUCAUCAAAAGACGUCAGAGUAGAAGCUACCGUAGGCGUCCAUGAUCUCCUCCGCUAUCUCGUCGUCAAAUGAAUCGUGGUCCGUCCACAUGUCGUCGCCAUCGUCGCUGAGUGCUUCGCAGUCCAUAUCAGAGUCCUCCGAUACGGCUGCGGCGUCAGGUUGUGUAUUGGCGGCGGGUCUUGGAUGUGUUGGUGCUGCUGCUGGUGUCUGUGUUGGAGGAUUGGCCACUGCUGAGCCACUGCCCUUUGCUUCAGUCAGGUUUGUAAUUAGUGUGCAUUUCCACACACUUGCCAUCGCAUUGGACGGCUGGCUGCUGCUGAUGCUGGGGAUUUCUCGGUGUCUGGAAACGUUUUGGAGUUGGCUGCACCCGUUGAUCGCGCUGGCAUUGGCGCCCCUUGGCCUGUGGCUGGGAAUGAUGGCCGCGAUGCUGGUGCUGCUGCUGGUGCUGCCGACCCAAAUUGUGUCGGCUAUAA